CUACACCCUCGCCAAGAAACCUUGCCGCUCCGAUCGCGCCACUUCCUUCCCGAUCGACUCGAUCGACAUAUCCCGCCUCUCCCUCAUCGACGACGACGGCAAGUCCAUCCCUCAUCCUCCCUCCUCCUCCGCCGCCGUCAGCCCUUACCUCCGCGGUCCCCUCGGUAUCCUCGCCCGAAAGCGUCCCCGUCGCCGCGGAGCCUCCCGCUCCGUCUCCGGUCGUAGCUCUGAUCGCAGCGCCAAUCGCCG
rnacentral:lncRNA from 1 species